UACGAAGGGUGCAAACGUUGCUCGGAAUCAUUGGGCGUAAAGCGCACGUAGGCGGCCUCAUACGUCGGAUGUGAAAUCCCUCGGCUCAACCGAGGACGUGCAUCCGAAACUGUGAAGCUCGAGUAUGGAAGAGGGUCGCGGAAUUCCCGGUGUAGAGGUGAAAUUCGUAGAUAUCGGGAGGAACACCAGUGGCGAAGGCGACUACCUGGCCUGUUCUUGACGCUGAGGCGCGAAAGCUAGGGGAGCAAACGGG
rnacentral:rRNA from 1 species